rnacentral:rRNA from 1 species
AUUGAACGCUGGCGGCAGGCCUAACACAUGCAAGUCGAGCGGAUGAAGGGAGCUUGCUCCUGGAUUCAGCGGCGGACGGGUGAGUAAUGCCUAGGAAUCUGCCUGGUAGUGGGGGAUAACGUCCGGAAACGGGCGCUCAUACCGCAUACGUCCUGAGGGAGAAAGUGGGGGAUCUUCGGACCUCACGCUAUCAGAUGAGCCUAGGUCGGAUUAGCUAGUUGGUGGGGUAAAGGCCUACCAAGGCGACGAUCCGUAACUGGUCUGAGAGGAUGAUCAGUCACACUGGAACUGAGACACGGUCCAGACUCCGACGGGAGGCAGCAGUGGGGAAUAUUGGACAAUGGGCGAAAGCCUGAUCCAGCCAUGCCGCGUGUGUGAAGAAGGGCUUCGGAUUGUAAAGCACUUAAGUUGGGAGGAAGGGCAGUAAGUUAAUACCUUGCUGUUUUGACGUUACCAACAGAAUAAGCACCGGCUAACUUCGUG